rnacentral:lncRNA from 1 species
AUGAGGAUCCCCAUGGCCACGGUGGUCCCCAACACCCUCUCACCGAUGCAGGGUCUGGGGCCCCGGAUUCACCAUGAGGCCUCCCCCUAUGGGUCCCAGCUUCACCAGCAGCACCAGGCCCACCAGCAGUCCCAACCCCAUCACCAGUCACAUAGUGACAGGCAGCCCCAGUCCCAACCCCAUCACCAGUCACAUAGUGACAGGCAGCCCCAGUCCCAUCACCAGUCACAUAGUGACAGGCAGCCCCAGCCCCAGUCCCAACCCCAUCACCAGUCACAUAGUGACAGGCAGCACCAGUCCCAACCCCACCAUCACCAGUCACAUAGUGACAGGCAGCCCCAGUCCCAACCCCAUCACCAGUCACAUAGUGACAGGCAGACCCAGUCCCAACCCCAUCACCAGUCACAUAGUGACAGGCAGACCCAGUCCCAACCCCAGUCCCAUAGUGACAGGCAGUCCCAGUCCCAACCCCAUCACCAAUCACACAGUAGAGACAGGCAGCCCCAGUCCCAACCCCAGCCCCAUAGUGACAGGCAGCACAACAACAGCAGCAGUAGUAAGCUCAGCCGGACUUCCUCUAGUAAGAGCUCUGGCAGCAGCAACAUUCACAACAGUAGCAGUAUUACCAGUAGUAGUGCUGGGACUGGCAUUAGCAGCAGCCUACCAGUGGACUCCACCCAAGCACUUAUAAUGCAGUCCCCCCGCACAGCCCCCCACCCUCCCCAGACCUCAGUCCCUCCCCCCUCUCCUCUCAUAGACAACAGCACUUUGGACAUCCAGAAGUCACUGUUCAGAAGCCCUCCCUGCUCCUCCACCACCACCACCUCUUCCUCCCUGUCGGUGUCCCAUCCUUUCUACAUGAGCAGCAUGGCCUCUGAGCACCGCUCCCCGGUGCGGUCCGGCAGCAGCACCCACAAAGCCAAAGAGCAGGGCAGCAGCUCAGAGCACAGGAAUGUGGAGAGGAAUGGGGAAAGGAAGCGGAGCCAGUCCCCUUUUAAAGACUUUGUCCUCUGA